UACGUAGGUGGCAAGCGUUACUCGGAAUCACUAGGCGUAAAGCGCAGGUAGGCGGUUCGGUAAGUCUCUUGUGAAAGCUCCCGGCUCAACUGGGAGAGGCCAAGGGAAACUGUCGGGCUAGAGUGUGGCAGAGGAUGCUGGAAUUCCCGGUGUAGCGGUGAAAUGCGUAGAUAUCAGGAGGAAUACCGGUGGCGAAAGCGACUCUCUGGACGGCAACUGACGCUGAGGCACGAAAGCGUGGGGAGCAAACAGG
rnacentral:rRNA from 1 species